rnacentral:rRNA from 1 species
GACGAACGCUGGCGGCGCGCUUAACACAUGCAAGUCGAACGGAAAGGCCUGCUUUCCCUUGUGGAUUGCGGGUACUCGAGUGGCGAACGGGUGAGUAACACGUGAGUGAUCUGCCCCCAACUUGGGUAUAAGCCUGGGAAACUGGGUCUAAUUCCCGAUAGGACUGCAGGGUGGUGCCUGUGGUGGAAAACGAUUUUCUAGUGGUUGGGGAUGAGCUCGCGGCCUAUCAGCUUGUUGGUGGGGUAAUGGACUACCAAGGCGGCGACGGGUAGCCGGCCUGAGAGGGUGGACGGCCACAUUGGGACUGAGAUCCGGCCCAGACUCCUACGGGAGGCAGCAGUGGGGAAUAUUGCACAAUGAGCGGAAGCCUGAUGCAGCGACGCCGCGUGGGGGAUGACGGCCUUCGGGUUGUAAACUCCUUUCGACCGCGAGGAAGCCACCUGGUUGGAAGGGUGGUGACGGUAGUGGUAGAAGAAGCACCGGCUAACUACGUG